UACGUAGGGUGCAAGCGUUGUCCGGAAUUAUUGGGCGUAAAGAGCUCGUAGGCGGCUUGUCGCGUCGGCUGUGAAAACCUGGGGCUCAACCCCGGGCCUGCAGUCGAUACGGGCAGGCUAGAGUUCGGUAGGGGAGACUGGAAUUCCUGGUGUAGCGGUGAAAUGCGCAGAUAUCAGGAGGAACACCGAUGGCGAAGGCAGGUCUCUGGGCCGAUACUGACGCUGAGACGCGAAAGCGUGGGGAGCGAACAGG
rnacentral:rRNA from 1 species